rnacentral:rRNA from 1 species
CCUACGGGAGGCAGCAGUCGAGAAUCAUUCACAAUGGGGGAAACCCUGAUGGUGCGACGCCGCGUGGGGGAAUGAAGGUCUUCGGAUUGUAAACCUCUGUCAUGUGGGAGCAAAUUAAAAAGAUAGUACCACAAGAGGAAGAGACGGCUAACUCGGUGCCAGCAGCCGCGGUAAUACAGAGGUCUCAAGCGUUGUUCGGAAUCACUGGGCGUAAAGCGUGCGUAGGCUGUUUCGUAAGUCGUGUGUGAAAGGCGCGGGCUCAACCCGCGGACGGCAGAUGAUACUGCGAGACUAGAGUAAGGGAGGGGGAACCGGAAUUCUCGGUGUAGCAGUGAAAUGCGUAGAUAUCGAGAGGAACACUCGUGGCGAAGGCGGGUUCCUGGACAUUAACUGACGCUGAGGCACGAAGGCCAGGGGAGCGAAAGGGAUUAGAUACCCCAGUAGUC